AGUACUUUAGUGUAGUAGGUCGCACGACAGACUCAUGAUCUGUAAGACUAGGUUCGAUUCCUGGAAUGUACUC
rnacentral:tRNA from 1 species